UACGUAGGGUGCAAGCGUUGUCCGGAAUUAUUGGGCGUAAAGAGCUCGUAGGCGGUUUGUCGCGUCUGCUGUGAAAACUCGGGGCUUAACCCCGGGCCUGCAGUGGGUACGGGCAGACUAGAGUGCGGUAGGGGAGACUGGAAUUCCUGGUGUAGCGGUGAAAUGCGCAGAUAUCGGGAGGAACACCAGUGGCGAAGGCGGGUCUCUGGGCCGAUACUGACGCUGAGGAGCGAAAGCGUGGGGAGCGAACAGG
rnacentral:rRNA from 1 species